CACGUAGGGUGCGAGCGUUGUCCGGAAUUAUUGGGCGUAAAGAGCUCGUAGGCGGUGUGUCGCGUCGGCCGUGAAAACCUGCAGCUUAACUGUGGGCUUGCGGUCGAUACGGGCAUCACUGGAGUUCGGCAGGGGAGACUGGAAUUCCUGGUGUAGCGGUGAAAUGCGCAGAUAUCAGGAGGAACACCGGUGGCGAAGGCGGGUCUCUGGGCCGAUACUGACGCUGAGGAGCGAAAGCUAGGGGAGCGAACGGG
rnacentral:rRNA from 1 species